UGGGGAAUAUUGCACAAUGGGCGCAAGCCUGAUGCAGCCAUGCCGCGUGUAUGAAGAAGGCCUUCGGGUUGUAAAGUACUUUCAGUCGGGAGGAAGGCGGUAAGGUUAAUAACCUUAUCAAUUGACGUUACCGACAGAAGAAGCACCGGCUAACUCCGUGCCAGCAGCCGCGGUAAUACGGAGGGUGCAAGCGUUAAUCGGAAUUACUGGGCGUAAAGCGCACGCAGGCGGUUGAUUGAGUCAGAUGUGAAAUCCCCGGGCUUAACCCGGGAAUUGCAUCUGAUACUGGUCAGCUAGAGUCUUGUAGAGGGGGGUAGAAUUCCAUGUGUAGCGGUGAAAUGCGUAGAGAUGUGGAGGAAUACCGGUGGCGAAGGCGGCCCCCUGGACGAAGACUGACGCUCAGGUGCGAAAGCGUGGGGAGCAAACAGG
rnacentral:rRNA from 1 species